rnacentral:rRNA from 1 species
GAGUAAUGUCUGGGAAACUGCCUGAUGGAGGGGGAUAACUACUGGAAACGGUAGCUAAUACCGCAUAACGUCGCAAGACCAAAGAGGGGGACCUUCGGGCCUCUUGCCAUCGGAUGUGCCCAGAUGGGAUUAGCUAGUAGGUGGGGUAACGGCUCACCUAGGCGACGAUCCCUAGCUGGUCUGAGAGGAUGACCAGCCACACUGGAACUGAGACACGGUCCAGACUCCUACGGGAGGCAGCAGUGGGGAAUAUUGCACAAUGGGCGCAAGCCUGAUGCAGCCAUGCCGCGUGUAUGAAGAAGGCCUUCGGGUUGUAAAGUACUUUCAGCGGGGAGGAAGGG